AUUGAACGCUGGCGGCAGGCCUAACACAUGCAAGUCGAACGAGUGGCGGACGUGUGAGUAAUGUCUGGGAACCUGCCUGAUGGAGGGGGAUAACUACUGGACACGGUAGCUAAUACCGCAUACCCUCAGAUGUGCCCAUAUGGUAUUGGCUUGUUGGUGGGGUAACGGCUCAACAAGGCGACGAUCCCUAGCUGGUCUGAGAGGAGGACCAGCCACACUGUAACUGAGACACGGUCCAGACUCCUACGGGAGGCAGCAGUGGGGAAUAUUGCACAAUGGGCGCAAGCCUGAUGCAGCCAUGCCGCGUGUAUGAAGAAGGCCGUCGGGUUGUAAAGUACUUUCAGCGGGGAGGCGUUACCCGCAGAAGAAGCACCGGCUAACUCCGUGCCAGCAGCCGCGGUAAUGC
rnacentral:rRNA from 1 species